UGGCCGGGCCGAGCCUUCGCCUCCCGUGCCGGCGCCCAAUUGAGGGCACGGGCGAGUUCUCUGAUCCGCAAACAUGGAUACGUCGUGAAGAUUAACUUCAAAUCUGCCAGCGGUCGACCUCGACAACGUCUUUGCUUGGGUACACCGAGGAAUGAUGAUUAAAUCUUCGCCCGCGCUCGCCCCCCGACGCGGGAGGGGCGACGCCAAUGUAAUCUUCACAACUGCUGCUUGCUGCCUUGAAGAUUAAAGCAGUCCCUACUUGUGGAGAAACAAACCCAAGUACUCCUCCCUUCCUCCUUUGGGCCAAUGAAAAACGUUGCACGCGACGUUUCUAAGGGCUCUUUUUCUCUUGAAGAGUUGGACUGAUGAGGCGAGGGCAACCCACCUCUGCAAAAUGGGUGCUGCUCAGAAGCCCAUACCACGGGUCAAAAGUUCCCAAAAGGGGUGUAACAGAUACUGGCAGGAUGAAAAGAUGGAGGCACGAAAUCGCUUCUUGACGGCCAAUGGGCAGGCCGGUCCAGUUGCAUCCUGUCGUCUGGCGACAUCUCGCGGCGCAGAAGGGUCCAGGGCAGAGCAGGUAGCGACAACAAACUGUUCAAACAAUCGCUCAAAGAAAGAAAUGUGGUGAGUUCUACAGUUUUCUGCAGGACUGGACAGCCAUUCACAGAUGGAGGAUGGAGGAGUAUGCCAAAGCAUUCGUGCCUGAUGUUGCCAAUGAACUUUUUGACAACUUUUUGCAACAAGACAAGAUAGUCAAACGAAUAAAAAACAUGCUAUUGUCGGCAAGAACUGUUCAC